UGGGGAAUUUUGGACAAUGGGCGAAAGCCUGAUCCAGCAAUGCCGCGUGUGUGAAGAAGGCCUUCGGGUUGUAAAGCACUUUUGUCCGGAAAGAAAUCCUUGGCUCUAAUACAGUCGGGGGAUGACGGUACCGGAAGAAUAAGCACCGGCUAACUACGUGCCAGCAGCCGCGGUAAUACGUAGGGUGCAAGCGUUAAUCGGAAUUACUGGGCGUAAAGCGUGCGCAGGCGGUUUGCUAAGACCGAUGUGAAAUCCCCGGGCUCAACCUGGGAACUGCAUUGGUGACUGGCAGGCUAGAGUAUGGCAGAGGGGGGUAGAAUUCCACGUGUAGCAGUGGAAUGCGUAGAGAUGUGGAGGAAUACCGAUGGCGAAGGCAGCCCCCUGGGCCAAUACUGACGCUCAUGCACGAAAGCGUGGGGAGCAAACAGGAUUAGAUACCCUGGUAGUCCACGCCCUAAACGAUGUCAACUAGUUGUUGGGGAUUCAUUUCCUUAGUAACGUAGCUAACGCGUGAAGUUGACCGCCUGGGGAGUACGGUCGCAAGAUUAAAACUUAAAUGAAUUGACGGGGUCAUAGCUG
rnacentral:rRNA from 1 species